CCUACGGGAGGCAGCAGUGAGGAAUAUUGGUCAAUGGGCGCUAGCCUGAACCAGCCAAGUAGCGUGAAGGAUGACUGCCCUAUGGGUUGUAAACUUCUUUUAUAUGGGAAUAAAGUGCAGUAUGUAUACUGCUUUGCAUGUACCUUAUGAAUAAGGAUCGGCUAACUCCGUGCCAGCAGCCGCGGUAAUACGGAGGAUCCGAGCGUUAUCCGGAUUUAUUGGGUUUAAAGGGAGCGUAGGCGGGUUGUUAAGUCAGUUGUGAAAGUUUGCGGCUCAACCGUAAAAUUGCAGUUGAUACUGGCAGCCUUGAGUACAGUAGAGGUAGGCGGAAGUCGUGGUGUAGCGGUGAAAUGCUUAGAGAUCACGAAGAACUCCGAUUGCGAAGGCAGCCUGCUGGACUGUAACUGACGCUGAUGCUCGAAAGUGUGGGUAUCAAACAGGAUUAGAUACCCCUGUAGUC
rnacentral:rRNA from 1 species